rnacentral:rRNA from 1 species
AUGGGGCCUCCUUCUCAAGAACCCAACCCAACAAAAGACGUGUGCGAUCUAGCUAGUACCACGGAGAAGCCAAGUUGCAACAGGCGUCGUCUGCAGUUCAGCUCUCAGGAGACGCCUCCAGCUGCCGACUUCACCGAGCCUCAGAUAGGUGAGGUGCGAAAUAUUAUCAGCCCCAACACACUCAAGAAGGCGGUCUGUAAGCAGAACUCGGUACCAUUACAGGAGAAGAAGAAGGCACGCAAAAGAAAGACUAACAAGGGUGCGGGCCAGCCGGCACCGAGUACGAUCCGUGCUCAGGACGGGCCACCUUCACCUGAGGAUUUAAUGAGGAGGCUGCAUGUGGCGGGUAGGCCAAUGCUACCGAGAAAUAUGCUCGAUGCUGCAACCGGUGCUAUGCGGAGUCUGCAUGACAGUGUUCUUUCUUUGGAGAAGCGGCGUCUCAGAGAGAAGGAUGUGGCAUACCCGGUUUUCGCGGCCAAGGUGCCAGAGGGCAAGGGCUUUGUGGAUAACUCCAUCGGGGGUACGAUCAUCCUACGGUUUGAUGAUAUCCACGCUAUGUUGAACCUUCAUCCGCUGCACUACACCUUCGUUCGGCUAUUUUCGCUGAGUAUGGAGAUGCGGAUCAUUCGCGACAAGACCCCGGACAUCGUGAUAGUCGACCCCUUCUACAUGCAUGCCAAGAUCUUGGGCAGCGCUGGGGACCGGCAAGUCGCGAGUUCUUACCUCGAAGGCGUCAUUCUGGCAAACCAAGAUAAGGAUAACUUCCUCGUGCCUUACUUUCCUGAGUAA